GACGAACGCUGGCGGCGUGCCUAAUACAUGCAAGUCGAACGCAGUGGGGACGGGUGAGUAACACGUGGGUAACCUCCCAUCAGAGGGGAUAACACUUGGAAACAGGUGCUAAACCGAUACCGGCGGAUGGACCCGCGGUGCAUUAGCUAGUUGGUGAGGUAACGGCUAACCAAGGCCACGAUGCAUAGCCGACCGGGAAGAUUGAUAGGCCUCACUGGGACUGAGACACGGCCCAAACUCCAACGGGUGGCAGCAGUAGGAAAUCUUCGACAAUGAACGAAAGUCUGAGCAAGCAACGCCUGGUCAGUGAUAAAGGUUUACGGUUCGUAAAACUCGGUUGUUAGAAAAGCGGUAUCUGACCAGAAAGCCACGGCUAACUACGUGCCAGCAGCCGCGGUAAUUC
rnacentral:rRNA from 1 species